rnacentral:misc_RNA from 1 species
CAAGAAGCCGCAAGAGCUCCUUAAACCCUCGCGAACCUACCUACACGUUGCCUCGGCGGCGCGGCUCACGGGGACCUGCAGCCCGCUCUAGGCGGCUAAGGGCAGCCGCCGGCGGCCUACGAACUCUGUCUCUGCAUCGUUGCCUCUCUGAGUACUUAGAAACCAAUCAGU